UGCAGGAGGAAUGCUGCCAGGGAACCACCGCAGCCAUUGAGAGGAGCAGGAGGCAGUAGCCACAUACACAGCCUAAGCUACAAAAUGCCAGGUCGUGUGGUCUCACUUUAGCUGCAGCCCUGGGCAUCCUGAGCCAUCACUGUCCACCAUUCUUAUUGCCAGCACUCUUAGAUGGUGUCAUGGUUUAUGUCUGUGUCCUCCAGGCCUCAAGAGUUUGCAUUGUGCAUUUGUGAUUUGUUCAUUGUCUAGUGCUUGGAUUGAUGAUGUCAGUGCUACACCCACAAAGGGGUGGAGCCAGGAUAUGAUGUAAUGGCAGGAAGGAGGUGGGUCUUGCUGUUUGCUGGUUCCUGCUUGCUGUUGGUGGCCACCAUGAUGAACUGAGGCCCAGCCAUGCCCACCUGCCUUGGAGCCAACCAAGUGUGGACUGAAACCUCCAAAAACUUACCUGGCUCAGAGCUCUCAGCCAGAAGACAUUUGAAUCAAGCUACUACCUUUCUUGACUAUGACUUGGCAGGACUAUGACUCCACACCGGAAUUAGUCUCAGCGGGGCUGAUUAAUCAGAAAAUCUGAGUUGAAGGGGGGCAUGAGGCAUUGUUGUCAAUUAUCCUGAAGAGGAACCAGUCAUGGAGUGCAAGAUCAUUGAAGAUGGAAAUGAACUCAUUAGGCCUUUAUUCCUCCCAGACCUUGGGUGAGGAGGUGGAACCAGCACCUGGGCCUCACAGUGAGAUCUAGUGACUCCAGGUGAGGCAGGAAUUUCAACUCCGCUUGAUUCCUAACUACAUGGACCAGGAGUAUGAGAGCAGAAUGAAUACUGGCAGGAAAACCAGUAAGAACUGAAGAAGCAUUGGACAAGGAUGCUGAGAAAUUCUGAGGUGAAGAAACCCUCCUUUAUCUUGCAGGGACCAAUUAUCCAAUAACCCUUUUGCAGAUGUCUGACAAACAGCGUGAUAGUGAAGAUAAAUCCCACGGGAAUCCCACAACAAAGUUUGAGAUUUUUGUGCAUCGCGUAUUUAAUAAAAUUGAAACUUGUCCUUUAGCUGCCUGCAACUCACACAUGUGUGCGCACGCUCAAUCACUCACUCGUUUCCUCUGUGCCUGUGUGUGCUGGUGACUGGCUUCAUCAAGCUAUAUGUAGGGAAUGAAUCACACUGAAAUAAGAAAUAGGCUCUGGGGACCACGCUGGUUCUGUGUCUGGAAGAAUAAUGGAAAUGUCCCCUCGGACUGCCAGCCCACCUCUCUGGUACUGUUUCCGGAAAAGGGGAGACUGCCUUGAUCUCUGACACAGAGCAGUUAAGGAUUCAGACUAAUUCAGUGAAAGAUGUCUUGGCCUUCCUGGCUGUGUGAAGAUCAAGCAAUCUCUAAAAUGCCCACAAUAGAGAAAAUCUAUUAAUAAAAACCUACCCAUUUCCACAGCUGGAAUGGUAAUAGUCAUUGUCCCCACUUGGUUCUGAAGACGGCAAGGUAACCGGACCCACACCAAGCCCUAUAUCGGGUAUCAUCCAUCCUGACUGUCCGUGUGUUCUGGUUCUGCACACUGGGACAGUGAAGCUCUCAGAACAGUGAGAAUCUUGUCUAAAGUUCUCCGGUCACAUGGUGUAUAGGAGAAUUUGCCUUUUCCCCACCAACGCACAUCUUGCCCUUAUCAAAAUGAUCUUUUUGGCUUGUCUGUUCUGUGUUAGUUUUUUAUUGCUGCAUAAUAAAUUCUCACAAAGUUAGUAGCUUCUAAAAGCACCUUUAUUGGUACCAAGUUCUGUAGGUCACAAGUAUAGCUCAGUGCCAUGGGGGCUUUGCUCAGGCUGAAAUCAGAGAGUCUGCAGACUGCAAUUUUAGCUGUGGCACAGGGUUUCCUUCCAGGCUCAUUCCUGUCAUUAGCCAGAUUCACUUUGACAAGGCCAUAGUACUGACAUCUCUGUUUUCUUGCUUGGCUGGCAUCGGUUCUCAGCAUACAGGUCUCUGCCCUGUGACAGCUCCAUGUCACCGA